rnacentral:rRNA from 1 species
GUACUUUCAGCAGUGAGGAAGGUAGUGUAGUUAAUAGCUGCAUUAUUUGACGUUAGCUGCAGAAGAAGCACCGGCUAACUCCGUGCCAGCAGCCGCGGUAAUACGGAGGGUGCGAGCGUUAAUCGGAAUUACUGGGCGUAAAGCGCAUGCAGGUGGUUUGUUAAGUCAGAUGUGAAAGCCCGGGGCUCAACCUCGGAAUAGCAUUUGAAACUAGGCAGACUAGAGUACUGUAGAGGGGGGUAGGAAUUUCAGGUGUAGCGGUGAAAUAGCGUAGAGAUCUGAAGGAAUACCGGUGGCGAAGGCGGCCCCCUGGACAGAUACUGACACUCAGAUGCGAAAGCGUGGGGAGCAAACAGGAUUAGAUACCCUGGUAG